rnacentral:rRNA from 1 species
AGAACGAACGCUGGCGGCAUGCCUAACACAUGCAAGUCGAACGCUCUUGGUUUCGGCCAAGGGAGUGGCGCACGGGUGAGUAACGCGUGGGAACCUGCCCUGGAGUGGGGGAUAACCGAGGGAAACCUCGGCUAAUACCGCAUACGACCUGAGGGUGAAAGAUUUAUCGCUCUAGGAGGGGCCCGCGUCGGAUUAGCUAGUUGGUGAGGUAACGGCCCACCAAGGCUAUGAUCCGUAGCUGGUCUGAGAGGAUGAUCAGCCACACUGGGACUGAGACACGGCCCAGACUCCUACGGGAGGCAGCAGUGGGGAAUAUUGGACAAUGGGCGCAAGCCUGAUCCAGCAAUGCCGCGUGAGUGAUGAAGGCCUUAGGGUUGUAAAGCUCUUUCAGCAGGGACGAAGCGAAAGUGACGGUACCUGCAGAAGAAGCGCCGGCUAACUCGUGCCAGCAGCCGC